rnacentral:tRNA from 1 species
UGAUAGCUCAGUCAGUAGAGCAUGUGACUCUUAACCUCAGGGUCAUGAGUUUGAGCCCCACAUUGGGAAAA